rnacentral:rRNA from 1 species
GAUGAACGCUAGCGAUAGGCUUAACACAUGCAAGUCGAGGGGCAGCACAAGGUAGCUUGCUAUCUGGGUGGCGACCGGCGCACGGGUGCGUAACGCGUAUGCAACUUGCCCUAUACAGGAGGAUAACCCGUCGAAAGACGGACUAAUACUGCGUAUGCUCACAACUUGGCAUCAAGUGGUGAGGAAAGAAAUUCGGUAUAGGAUAGGCAUGCGUCCCAUUAGCUUGUUGGUGAGGUAACGGCUCACCAAGGCAACGAUGGGUAGGGGAACUGAGAGGUUUAUCCCCCACACUGGUACUGAGACACGGACCAGACUCCUACGGGAGGCAGCAGUGAGGAAUAUUAGUCAAUGGGCGCGAGCCUGAACCAGCCAAGUCGCGUGAAGGAUGACUGUCCUAUGGAUUGUAAACUUCUUUUAUACGGGAAUAACAAGAGUCACGUGUGACUCCCUGCAUGUACCGUAUGAAUAAGCAUCGGCUAACUCCGUG